UCUUGACCUUUCUAAAUAGCCCCUGGCUAUGUUGAUGAUUUACGUUCACUCUGUUUCCAGCCUUUCCUGUCUGUAACUUACCAGGUGGUGGAAGUUUGUUUGGUUUGACUAUAAGUACUAUACAUCUAUGACACUCACUACAAGAAUCUUCCUAUUCACAGUUGUGGAGUUUGACAAUCCGUGCUCCCUGCUCUUCCAAUCUUCCCAAUGAAGUUCCUGGUAUUCCUUGUGUUGAUUUGUGCCUCUACUAUCCUGGUCUUUUGUGGUGCUGCUGAGAUUGUUGAGAUGGUACUCGGGAAGUUCAUAGAUGGUUAUAACUUUAUAUCCAGAAGAAGAGGACUCAAUUUGUAAACCUCCUUACUUUUUAUUCAUUUGUAGGUGUCAUGAUUAUUCUCUGUAGUUU
rnacentral:lncRNA from 1 species